rnacentral:rRNA from 1 species
UAAUACGUAGGUGGCGAGCGUUGUCCGGAAUUAUUGGGCGUAAAGAGCGCGUAGGCGGGUAGAUAAGUCUGUUUUAAAAGUGCGGGGCUCAACCCCGUGAUGGAAUGGAAACUGUUUAUCUUGAGUACCGGAGAGGAAAGUGGAAUUCCCAGUGUAGCGGUGAAAUGCGUAGAUAUUGGGAGGAACACCAGUGGCGAAGGCGACUUUCUGGACGGUGUCUGACGCUGAGGCGCGAAAGCCAGGGAAGUGAACGGGAUUAGAUACCCCGGUAAUCCUGGCCGUAAACGAUGGGUACUAGGUGUAGAGGGUAUCGACCCCUUCUGUGCCGGAGUUAACGCAAUAAGUACCCCGCCUGGGGAGUACGGCCGCAAGGUUGAAACUCAAAGGAAUUGACGG